GCCGCCGCCGGUGUCGUAGCCCGGGGUGUCGAGGGAGAGGCGACGGACUAGAGGAACCAGGCGAGCCGGUCGGCGGGUAACCGGAGCAGCAACGCCAUUGUCUCCUCCCCUCGUCUUUCUUCUAGCUGGAGCGGGGUCGGCCAGCUGCCGCAUCCCCGUCGAGGAAGGGGCCACGGAGCUCACGCGGAGAGCGGCCUAGUGCUUAGGUAAGGCUGCAGCCGCGUCGUCGUGUGGUCUGCUGACACCAAGGGCUGGUCCAUCGCCGGGGCGUGCAUCAGCAGCGACGCCUCCGAGAUUGGCCACCCGCCAUGGAUGUUCCUCUGCACCGACCCUAGUGCCAUGGAACAAGUCAAGCACGCAUGGCAGCAGAUCGCUGCAGCCAUCCUUCUCACCUGGGAAGGAGGAGAUCCAUCAGCAGCAGCCCAGAUUUUUUUAAUGAAACGAUGAAGAUGAAGAAGGAAAGCAACCGGAACGGGCGAAGAGAGGUGGAUAGGAAGUAAUUCUAAAAAAUAUUGUAUUAGAGAUUAAGUUGCAUCAGAAUAUAUGUGGAGCUGCUUAGUUCACAUCAACAGUUGCAUAAAAAUGCCUGGAACACAUUUUUGUUUUUUUAAUAGUUGUCCAUGAAUCAUACUAAAGUUUCCUAUGUUAGAGAAUAUAUAUGCAUUAA